rnacentral:rRNA from 1 species
AGUGAACGCUGGCGGUAGGCCUAACACAUGCAAGUCGAACGGCAGCACAGUAAGAGCUUGCUCUUACGGGUGGCGAGUGGCGGAAGGGUGCGGUAUACACCGGAAUCUACUUUUUAGUGGGGGCUAACGUAGGGAAACUUACGCUAAUACCGCAUACGACCUACGGGUGAAAGCAGGGGAUCUUUGGACCUUGUGCGAUAGAAUGUGCCGAUGUCGGAUUAGCUAGAUGGCGGGGUAAAGGCUCACCAAGGCGACGAUCCGUAGCUGGUCAGAGAGGAUGGUCAGCCACACUGGAACUGAGACACGGUCCAGACUCCGACGCGAGGCAGCGGUGGGAAAUAUUGGGCAAUGGGCGAAAGCGUGAUCCAGCCAUACCGCGUAAGUGAAGAAGGCCUUCGGCUUGUUGAGUCAUGUUGGUGGGAAGGAAGAGCAGCUGUUUCAUCCGGCGCUGUUCUGACGGUACCCAAAGAAUAAGCCCCGGCUAACUUCGUG